GGGGCUGCUCCUAGUACGAGAGGACCGGAGUGGACGCAUCACUGGUGUUCGGGUUGUCAUGCCAAUGGCACUGCCCGGUAGCUAAAUGCGGAAGAGAUAAGUGCUGAAAGCAUCUAAGCACGAAACUUGCCCCGAGAUGAGUUCUCCCUGACCCUUUAAGGGUCCUGAAGGAACGUUGAAGACGACGACGUUGAUAGGCCGGGUGUGUAAGCGCAGCGAUGCGUUGAGCUAACCGGUACUAAUGAACCGUGAGGCUUAACCUU
rnacentral:rRNA from 1 species